GUUGGUGAUCCCUGCUUUAUAACAUUAUGAAUUUGUGGCGAAUAGAAAAAUCAAUUACGUUUAGAACAACUAUGUCAAAAUAUUUUUAAAAGGCAAUUAUUCGUUCUAAUAGGAUUCUAGACAUCUUUAACCCUGUUUGAAUUGUUCGGAUUUCAUUGGCGAAUGAUUUCUUGUUCAACUUAUGACAAUUUAAGCCUGGAAUAGCAGACAAAUUCGAUAACCGUGUCAACUGUAUACUUCGAGUUGUGUGAUUUUCUGGAUUGAGGAUACAAACUUGGGGCUUGAAAGACCGCGUUAUUGAACUGUUAAUAAAUGUCUAGUGUGCAGUCGGUGUCGUCCAGGUCACAAAGAACGGCUGUUACAUUAAGGUUAUCGAAUUUCUGCAAUUAAAAUUAUCGAAUUUAUGCAAAUAAAGUUCUCGAAUUUCCGCAAAUAAAGUUAUCGAAUUUAUGCAUAUAACGUUUGAUAUUGCAUAAAUAAAGUAUCGUUGAAUGCCGGCAGGAGUUCGGUAUAACGUCAAA